AUUGAACGCUGGCGGCAUGCUUUACACAUGCAAGUCGAACGGUAACAGGUUAAGCUGACGAGUGGCGAACGGGUGAGUAAUGCAUCGGAACGUGCCCGAUCGUGGGGGAUAACGCGGCGAAAGCUGCGCUAAUACCGCAUACGAUCUGAGGAUGAAAGCGGGGGACCGUAAGGCAUCGCGCGAUCGGAGCGGCCGGUGUCCGAUUGGGUAGUUGGUGGGGUAAAGGCCCACCAAGCCGACGAUCCGUAGCUGGUCUGAGAGGACGACCAGCCACACUGGGACUGAGACACGGCCCAGACUCCUACGGGAGGCAGCAGUGGGGAAUUUUGGACAAUGGGCGAAAGCCUGAUCCAGCAAUGCCGCGUGCAGGAAGAAGGCCUUCGGGUUGUAAACUGCUUUUGUACGGAGCGAAAAGGUCCUUUCUAAUACAAGGGGCUCAUGACGGUACCGUAAGAAUAAGCACCGGCUAACUACGUGCCAGCCGCCGCCGUAACAC
rnacentral:rRNA from 1 species